CUGGGACUUCAGACACAAGCAGUCACAGCCUUCCUGCAGACGGUGAGAGAAGGGCUGCAGAAACCUGUUGGCCUCUCCGCUAGGACUAAUACAGAGGCAAUCAGCUCCCUGGCUCCAGCACAUGCAAACAUUUGAAUUUCCUGUUGGCUCAGAGUGUUUGCAUUGCAAGUGACAUCUGGCUGACAGGAUCUUGGAGAAAUGGGAUACGAAGUGAAUGCUGCAGUUACCACAGCAUCAUAUUUAUCAAAAGACUUAAGUCAGCCCUUGUCUUUGCUACUUCAGUCAUCUUUCCAGCCUCUGGAAGCACUGGAAUCCCCAGCCUUACUUCUGGAGCCCCUUUAAAAGCAGACUUCCUAAAAGCUCCUGCCAGAUGGUGCCGACUAAUGCUGAAAGUAUUUCUGCCCUGGCUGAGGUCAGCAGACCCUGAGCACUACUUUCAACGUUCAUGAAUCUCACAGAGCUGCUGCUGAGGUUGGACUGUCAGAAGAGGUGGUGAGUGCCUCCCGUGCUGACUGCGUGAUGACUUGGUGGUUAGGAAACAUGCUCAGGAGAUACCGAUUUGGGCAGUUGCAGGAGUAUUUCAAACCUUCUUGCCAGUGCUCAAACCACUGGGAUGUCAGAUUUAAAAAAAAAGAGCACUAGCAUAAAUCUCCAUUUAAAAAAAAGAGUAGGCCUGCUGUUUUCAAUGAAAGACUGUGGUGUGGACAAUUCUCUGGUGUAACUCCAGAAUAGCAACAG
rnacentral:lncRNA from 1 species